rnacentral:rRNA from 1 species
UCGCCUGUUUUAUCAAAAACAUCGCCUCUUGCAAAAUCAAUAAAUAAGAGGUCCCGCCUGCCCUGUGACUAUAAGUUUAACGGCCGCGGUAUUUUGACCGUGCGAAGGUAGCGCAAUCACUUGUCUUUUAAAUGGAGACCUGUAUGAAUGGCAUGACGAGGGCUUAGCUGUCUCCUAUUUCCAGUCAAUGAAAUUGAUCUCCCCGUGCAGAAGCGGGGAUGCGUACAUAAGACGAGAAGACCCUAUGGAGCUUUAGACACCAAGGCAGACCAUGUUAAACACUCCAAAACAAAGGACUAAACCAAAUGAUCCCUGCCCUAAUGUCUUUGGUUGGGGCGACCGCGGGGAAACACAAAACCCCCACGUGGAACGAGAACACCUCUUCUCACAACCAAGAGCUCCCGCUCUACUAAACAGAAAAUCUGACCAAUCAGAUCCGGCACAAGCCGAUCAACGGACCGAGUUACCCUAGGGAUAACAGCGCAAUCCCCUUUUAGAGACCAUAUCGACAAGGGGGUUUACGACCUCGAUGUUGGAUCAGGACAUCCUAAUGGUGCAGCCGCUAUUAAGGGUUCGUUUGUUCAACGAUUAAAGUCCUACGUGAUCUGAGUCCAGACCGGA